CAGAGGAGAGAGAGAAGGGCGAGGGUGCUGUGAGAGAGGAGCAGGAGGCUCCUGGACAGCGGUCGCCAGGCUCUUCAGGGGUUCAGGGGUCUCCAAGAGAGAGAGAGCUUUUGUGAGGGAAACUUCAUGUGAGAGAGAAUUGGGUGUACAAGUGUUGAGGGUGAGGUCUCUUCUUGUAAAAUUUUCUUUUCAUAGUGAAGUUUGCAUGCCCCGUGGAGGCGAGCCCUUUUGUGGCUGAUCCACGUAUUUUGAUUGUUUUUCCUUUUGUUUUGUUUCUUCUUUCUUCCUGCUGCAUCGCGUGGUACUGAAAGGAUCUUG
rnacentral:lncRNA from 1 species